rnacentral:rRNA from 3 species
GCGGAGGGAUCAUUACUGA